rnacentral:rRNA from 1 species
UACACUCCUGCGGGAGGCAGCAGUGGGGAAUUUUGGACAAUGGGCGAAAGCCUGAUCCAGCAAUGCCGCGUGCAGGAUGAAGGCCUUCGGGUUGUAAACUGCUUUUGUACGGAACGAAAAAGCUCCUUCUAAUACAGGGGGCCCAUGACGGUACCGUAAGAAUAAGCACCGGCUAACUACGUGCCAGCAGCCGCGGUAAUACGUAGGGUGCGAGCGUUAAUCGGAAUUACUGGGCGUAAAGCGUGCGCAGGCGGUUAUGUAAGACAGAUGUGAAAUCCCCGGGCUCAACCUGGGAACUGCAUUUGUGACUGCAUGGCUAGAGUACGGUAGAGGGGGAUGGAAUUCCGCGUGUAGCAGUGAAAUGCGUAGAUAUGCGGAGGAACACCGAUGGCGAAGGCAAUCCCCUGGACCUGUACUGACGCUCAUGCACGAAAGCGUGGGGAGCAAACAGGAUUAGAAACCCUUGUAGUCCCAUGAU